GGGGUGAUGGCUUGCCAUCGCCUGCCGGCGACCGGCGCACGGGUGAGUAACACGUAUGCAACCUGCCCGCCACAGGGGGAUAAGCGGAAGAAAUUCCGUCUAAUACCGCGUGACGCGGCGCCGGGGCAUCCCGGUGCCGCCAAAGGGAUUACCGGUGGCGGAUGGGCAUGCGGCGCAUUAGCUAGUCGGCGGGGUAACGGCCCACCGAGGCGACGAUGCGUAGGGGUUCUGAGAGGAAGGUCCCCCACACUGGUACUGAGACACGGACCAGACUCCUACGGGAGGCAGCAGUGAGGAAUAUUGGUCAAUGGCCGAGAGGCUGAACCAGCCAAGUCGCGUGAGGGAAGACGGCCCUACGGGUUGUAAACCUCUUUUGUCGGGGAGCAAAGCGAACCACGUGUGGUUCAUUGAGAGUACCCGAAGAAAAAGCAUCGGCUAACUCCGUGCCAGCAGCCGCGGUAAUACGGAGGAUGCGAGCGUUAUCCGGAUUUAUUGGGUUUAAAGGGUGCGCAGGCGGAGGUGCAAGUCAGCGGUCAAAUUGCGGGGCUCAACCCCGUACUGCCGUUGAAACUGCAUCCCUUGAGUGCGCGAGAAGUAUGCGGAAUGCGUGGUGUAGCGGUGAAAUGCAUAGAUAUCACGCAGAACUCCGAUUGCGAAGGCAGCAUACCGGCGCGCAACUGACGCUCAUGCACGAAAGCGUGGGUAUCGAACAGGAUUAGAUACCCUGGUAGUCCACGCAGUAAACGAUGAACACUAACUGUUCGGCCAGAAUGAUGGCUGAGUGGUACAGCGAAAGCGUUAAGUGUUCCACCUGGGGAGUAC
rnacentral:rRNA from 1 species